CACAUACUCCCUCCUUUCAAAAAUACUUGUCAUCAAAAUGAAUAAAAAGAGAUGUAUUUAGAAUUAAAAUACGUCUAGAUACAUCUUUUUUUGUUCAUUUUGAUGACAAGUAUUUCCGGACGAAUGAAGUAUUUA
rfam:Triticum urartu cultivar G1812 contig181807, whole genome shotgun sequence.